rnacentral:rRNA from 1 species
CCCUUAGAUGUCCUGGGCUGCACGCGCGCUACACUGAUGUUUCCAGUAAGCACCUAACCUCUUCCGAAAGGAACGGGUAACCUUUGCAAAGCACAUCGUGAUGGGGAUAGAUUAUUGCAAUUAUUAGUCUUGAACGAGGAAUUCCUAGUAAGCACAAGUCAUCAGCUUGUGUUGAUUACGUCCCUGCCCUUUGUACACACCGCCCGUCGCUCCUACCGAUUGAAUGUUCCGGUGAGCUCUUCGGACUGCGCGGUCUGCAGUUUCUGCGUUCCGUGCGGAAAGUUGCGCAAACCUUAACAUUUAGAGGAAGGAGAAGUCGUAACA